rnacentral:lncRNA from 1 species
AUAAAAUAAAGCACAGUGAAAAUGCCUUGGCCCCUCUUGGGAUUCAGUUCUCGGCCUCCUCUGACUGAAAACCCCUGCUACGUCUCCGAUGAUAGCUAUAUGAAAGCCUAAAGUUACUGUAAGCCGUUAUUAUGAGAGGCAAAAAAAAUAUCCUGCGGCCAAAUAUAUUGGGAAAAAAAUAUCUUGCGCUGCACUUUUACAGGAAAAAAAUAUCUGUCUCGUUCGCUGGGCGGAAAAAAAAUUCUUGCACAGACUGAAUCUUCCACCUCCCCCCUCAGAAAUCAAAUGGUCCGCCCCUAAGCUUUGAUACGAAAAAUCUGUAAAAAUUUUAUAGAUAAUUUUAAACGUUCAUGUACCGGGAAAAUUAUAAAUUCUGAAUAAUUUUUGUAUUGACCAAUCAGGGAGAUUCUUUUGUAAAUACCAACCAAUCAGAUGUCUGUAUUGAAGCAGAAAUAAUAGCAUUCCAGAGAAUAAAUUAUAUUCAAAUUUAGGACGGCUCUCAAAUUUCACUCGAAGUCUUCGCCUGUUAUUUGUACUUUAAAGGGGAAGAUACGACGCUUAAAUACAGCAAAGAAGCGCAAAAUCCGAAGUUAAAGGCAAGGUUAAGGUAUGUUCUAUCAUUUUGAUGUGAAAUGUUGAUAUUUUAGCGAGUUAAAGUGGUUAAAACUACUUGUCGAAGUUGACAACCGCAAGUCGCUUCACGUUCGAUGUUCGUUUUGUUAUGGCAUAUUACCGAGCAUAUUACUGAAUUAUACCUUACGUUUCGUGAAGUUUAGUUUAAAUUAGUAGAGAGAAGAGUGCAUUAAGUAUUUAGGGUAUUUUGGAGCUAAAUGUGUUUUAAAAUUUGUCAUUUUAGCGAAAACAAGAAAUGUUGAAAUUGUCCAGAAUGUCGUCCCGGCCAUGUGCUUGCUGCGAAGAGACUCGGACAUCGGACAUUGUAGUGAAUGGUCGACAAUGUGUGUCGCUGGCAAACCUACAACUCCCACUGUACUAGGCAGUCAAGUAUUUUUAACCUGCACAUUUUUGUUUUUAUUUCCCCAAAUUUAUUUUAUGUUCAUAAAUAUCAUGACUCAUGCAUGACUUUAAAGCUGGAAGGAGUUGAGAUUCCCCACUCAACUGCAUGCCUUCUGAACAUUAGGCCACAUAAAAAAUAGUUGGUUAGCGUCCUUAGCUUUUGCCAAAAAGUGGGUGGGUGGGCGGUUUUUUAAAAUUUUUACUAAUUUUUUAACGCCUUGGUUUUAGGUCCGAAACUGGAUUUUCAUGCGCAGUACAGAUAUUUUUUUAUAUAUUUCAAAAUAUGAUUCAUACCGUCAUUUUCGCACGCAAUUUUGCCACUUAUUAACACAAUUGACUACAGUCAACAGAAAUACUACCUAUAUUAGAACCUGUUGAUCAAUAAAAGUUGGGUUUUUUUAAAAUAAAAAAUAAAAAAAAAUCCUGAGCGGGGCCUUUUUUGUGGGCGGGCGAAGAUGCUAACCAACUAUUUUUUUAUGUGGCCUUAGACUCCAUUUUACAUGCUACCAUUUCACCAGUAAGAAAUUUUUUGAAAAUUUUGAGAUUUGAAAGCUGUUUGCAUGGGCAGUGCCAUUUCAGUUUUAUUAUUUUUCCAAGGUCUCUGUGAGACUUCCAAUCAUUCAGCAUGAACAAAAGCAGUACAUGUAAAAAGAAAGGCGCCACUUUUUGGGUGUACUGUUUUUCUGUGUUGAAUGGCUGGAAGUGCUGCAGGUAUCAUGGGAUAUCUAAUAAAGUUGUGAUGUUAUUUCGGUGCUGUUUCUAUAAAGGGCAGCUUGCUAUGGCUAUAUGCCUUAGCCUAAAAAAAUUUCAAUUAUUUUUCAAAUAAAACAUUUUGGGUGCUGUUUCUAUAAAAGGACAGCUUGCUAUUACUAAAACUUGGUUUGCUACAUUCAGGGAUGCCUGUACUUUUCAAUCAACUGUACUUUUCGAUUGACUUUCCAAAUUACUUCACUGCUGUUUCUAUAUGGGACAGCUAUUACUAUCACUCUAUGUUUUAGACUGUCUAAUGAAAUAUAGACUAUGUCAUUUUUGUAAGGAUGACAUCUACAUACUAUAUUGCAAUGCUAUAUGCUUAAUAUUAAACUUCUGAAAUAGACAGCACAGUUUAUUGACAUUUCAAAUUUAGAAAAACCUAAGAUUCACUGCCCAUGUGUGUUCUAGUUACGAUGAAAGGCAAGUAUAAAGUGUCGUUCAUGGCUUAGGGAUGUACUACAUUUUAUAAAAAUAUGCAGUAGUUUUACACAAGUAUAUAUAUAGUGUUUUUAAACUACAUGCUAAAAGUUUCCGACUGUUAAAAUGGUGGCAUGUAAUUGUGGGUAUCUUGCUAGGACUUGCACAUUUAAAUAUUUACAAGCGCAUUAGGUCUCUUAGGUUUUAGUUAAGACCAACAUGAGCGAGUAAGAUAAACUCGACUAGCUUAGGAUAAGGCAUCAAGCGUGAAAUCCACGCAUUAGACCCCUCAGGAUCGGACCCCAACCCUUUUUUCAAUACCAAAUGUGAAAUUACCCCCACCUUACCACAUCAUUGAAGAGUAUUGGUGGAUAUCUUGGGCAAAUGUGCAUUAUCUUGGUGGAUAUCUUGGGCAAAUGUGCAACACCAUGAGGGAUAUCUUGGGCAAAUGUGCAAUACCAUGAGGGAUAUAUUGGGUAAAUGUGCAACACCAUGAGGGAUAUCUUGGGCAAAUGUGCAACAUAAUGAGGGAGAUAUUGGGCAAAUGUGCAAUACUAAUGGAUAAAAUGGUAUGAAAGAAAAUGUUGUAAGGUUAGUGGAUAUUUAUAAUAAGGCGUAAAAAAAUACCUGUGGUUCUGGUUCAUAUCGCGAAAAAAUUAGGGACGGUAGGUCGGAAAUAAAUUUUUUUGGAGUAUUUUUUUCAUAGUUUUUUCAAUAAUUAGUGUGACAACAGACACCAUUUUGGCAGCAGCCCGCAAUCACCCAGAGAAAAAAGGGUUGCACGGUCAAUCGCGUUGAAAAAAAUAAUAGAGUCGGUCGGGAACUGGAACCACAGGUAUUUUUUUACACCUAAUAUCAAUGAGGGGAGGGGGGGGGUCCUGCGAUUAUGAACAACGUAAGUCCAAAUUAAGAGGAAACAAUAUGGCGGAGUGUAACAAAUGAACAAUAUAGCAGACUGGUUAAUAUGUAACAAUGAUGCACAAUUAGAACAGGCAAAAUGCAAAUGUUGCUGUAUAAACAUAUCACAAAAUAUGCUUCUGACAACUACAUGCUAUAUGUUGAUAGGAAUUUGAAUAAGUUUUCAGCAGGGAGCCAGGGAUGAUUUAGAAUUUUUGUUUUAUUUU